rnacentral:rRNA from 1 species
CGCAGGCGGUUUGUUAAGUUAGAGGUGAAAGCCCCGGGCUCAACCUGGGAACUGCAUUUGAAACUGGUAACUAGAGUGUGAUAGAGGGAGGUGGAAUUUCUGGUGUAGCGGUGAAAUGCGUAGAUAUCUGAAGGAAUACCGAUGGCGAAGGCAGCCUCCUGGAUCAAUACUGACGCUCAUGUACGAAAGCGUGGGGAGCAAACAGGAUUAGAUACCCUGGUAGUCCACGCCGUAAACGAUGACUACUAG